AUUGAACGCUGGCGGCAGGCUUAACACAUGCAAGUCGAGCGGAGUGAUGGUGCUUGCACUAUCACUUAGCGGCGGACGGGUGAGUAAUGCUUAGGAAUCUGCCUAUUAGUGGGGGACAACAUCUCGAAAGGGAUGCUAAUACCGCAUACGUCCUACGGGAGAAAGCAGGGGAUCACUUGUGACCUUGCGCUAAUAGAUGAGCCUAGGUCGGAUUAGCUAGUUGGUGGGGUAAAGGCCUACCAAGGCGACGAUCUGUAGCGGGUCUGAGAGGAUGAUCCGCCACACUGGGACUGAGACACGGCCCAGACUCCUACGGGAGGCAGCAGUGGGGAAUAUUGGACAAUGGGGGGAACCCUGAUCCAGCCAUGCCGCGUGUGUGAAGAAGGCCUUAUGGUUGUGAAGCACUUUAAGCGAGGAGGAGGCUCUUUUAGUUAAUACCCAAGAUGAGUGGACGUUACUCGCAGAAUAAGCACCGGCUAACUCUGUGCCAGCAGCCGCCGUAA
rnacentral:rRNA from 1 species